CGUGGCGUGGGUCGUCUGCUUAAUUGCGAUAACGAGCGAGACUCCGAUUGUUAAAUAGCUGGCAGUUUACUUCGACUGUACAGCUUCUUAACGAGAUUCGCGUCUUCAAGGCGCAAGAAAUGGAGCAAUAACAGGUCUGUGAUGCCCUUAGAUGUUCGGGGCCGCACGCGUGCUACAAUGUUGGUAACAGCGUGAUUGUCCUCGCCCGAGAGGGCUUGGCAAACAGUUGAGAUAUUAUUAUGGCUGGAAUUGAGUGUUGAAAUUUUCUCUCAUGAACGAGGAAUUCCAAGUAAAUGCGAGUCACCAGCUCGCGUUGAAUACGUCCCUGCCCUUUGUAC
rnacentral:rRNA from 1 species